AUCUUCCAACUUCUUCUUGUCGUGGUUAUGCGAUUGGAGAUCCUUUGUUUGGAUCCAGUUGAAAACAUGAAGAAGAUGUGGACGUCGGCUAUCCUCUUAACUAGUGGCAACUCCAGCAAGGGUCAGAGUUGCGAGUACAUCGGUCCCUGUGGUUUGGUUUGUCGAAACCAGGAUGGUAACCCCAACAUUCAGGUCACACCUAUAGACGAAGAGAAGACCAGUGUUUACCAGUGGCGGAAGUGGCGAGGGAAGAAAAAAGGACUUGUAUUGCGACCAACAACUCUUGCCAGACGGGAAUGGGUGGCGGCUGCUGACUUUGGCUGACAAUGAAUUCCUUUCUUUAUCUUUGUUUCUAUUUCUAUUUUAACCUUUCAUCUCACCACCAUCAUCAUUUACUAACCUUUCUCUUUCUCUUUUCUUCUUGAUUUUUGUUUUUCAAUUUUUUUUUAGGCUGUGUUGAAUAUGGGAAAUGAGAGAAUGGGUAAAGUGUCGCCGAAGGACUCUGCUCAGCUUCGCUGCUCCAAGCUUUCAGGUUUGACUUAUGCUUGUUAACGGAAUGGCAAACGUACCAAAUCGUUCAAGUAAUAAAUAUGAAAAGUGUUAUCUUACAGAAAGAGGAAAAAAGCUCCAAGAAUCAAGAAGUGAAAAUGGUGAUCAUCUCCUUGAGAUUUCUUAAAGAGAAGAAGAGCGUGCGACGCUCUUGACUUUGAGAGGUUUCUUAAAGGGUUUGGAUAGUAGAAGAGGGGAUUCUUGCUGCUGGUCUAAUCAUUGUACUACCUAUAUUUUGAUUAAAGGGUUAGGGAGGUAUUUUAUAUUUUUGA